UACGGAGGGUGCGAGCGUUGUUCGGAAUCACUGGGCGUAAAGGGCGUGUAGGCGGUCUGUUAAGUCUGAUGUGAAAAGCCCGGGGCUCACCCCCGGAAGUGCAUUGGAUACUGGCGGACUCGAGUACCGGAGAGGAGGGUGGAAUUCCUGGUGUAGCGGGUGAAAUGACGUAGAUAUCAGGAGGAACACCGGUGGCGAAGGCGGCCCUCUGGACGGAUACUGACGUGAGGCGCGAAAGCGUGGGGAGCAAACAGG
rnacentral:rRNA from 1 species